UGGGGAAUAUUGGCACAAUGGGCGCAAGCCUGAUGCAGCCAUGCCGCGUGUGUGAAGAAGGCCUUCGGGUUGUAAAGCACUUUCAGCGAGGAGGAAGGUGGUGAACUUAAUACGUUCAUCAAUUGACGUUACUCGCAGAAGAAGCACCGGCUAACUCCGUGCCAGCAGCCGCGGUAAUACGGAGGGUGCAAGCGUUAAUCGGAAUUACUGGGCGUAAAGCGCACGCAGGCGGUUUGUUAAGUCAGAUGUGAAAUCCCCGGGCUCAACCUGGGAACUGCAUUUGAAACUGGCAAGCUAGAGUCUCGUAGAGGGGGGUAGAAUUCCAGGUGUAGCGGUGAAAUGCGUAGAGAUCUGGAGGAAUACCGGUGGCGAAGGCGGCCCCCCUGGANGAAGACUGACGCUCAGGUGCGAAAGGCGUGGGGGAGCAAACAGAUUAGNUACCCUGGUAGUCACGCUGUAAACGAUGUCGAUUUUGGAGGGUUUGUGCCCCUNAGCGNGGUUCCGGAGCUAACG
rnacentral:rRNA from 1 species